UGCGUAGGUGGUUUGUUAAGUCUGCUGUGAAAGCCCCGGGCUCAACCUGGGAAUGGCAGUGGAUACUGGCAAGCUAGAGUGCGGUAGAGGGUAGUGGAAUUCCCGGUGUAGCGGUGAAAUGCGUAGAGAUCGGGAGGAACACCAGUGGCGAAGGCGGCUACCUGGACCAGCACUGACACUGAGGCACGAAAGCGUGGGAGCAAACA
rnacentral:rRNA from 1 species